CCCGUCCUCACGUCAAAAAACUUUUCCCAUGAAAUCUGCUAAAAAUUUAUCCACAUAACCAAUAUAUUAAUAUACCAUAUUCCUAGCUAAUUGAUCAAUCAAAAUGGCCAGCAAGUUCCCAUUUGUGUACUUUCUGGUGACCUUGGUUUUAAUUCUCUUCUGCUCUUCAACGAUUCUUCCUCUUGCAGAAGCAGCAAAAACAAGAAAGAUGGCGGCAGCACAUGGCCACAUGAUUAACGGAAUUAAAAGCACUGUCGGUGGAAGCUACUCUAAGCGUGCAUCUCACGGUUGGGUUUCUUCUGGUGGGCGUUGAGCUCACGGUAAGGUUCCUUCUGAGCCUACACCUCAAAGUGAUGCAUGUGGUGGCGAGUUGCUCAAUCAAUCAGCUGUUGCUAUUGCUAUUAAAAUAAGUGUUUGCUUGUAUUUGGUUUUUAAGAUUCUACUCCAAGUUGGUUUAUGAUCAUGUAUGCUAUUUCUGUCUACAUACAAAAAUUAUAAAUAAAUAUAAUAAAUUCUAUUGAA